AGUUUUUACAAUUGGGGAAAAAAGGCAAAGCUCUCCCCGAGUUAUAUGGAAGAAAUGUACAUGGAAAGUUCACCAUAUUGUCCAGCAUUAUACCUUCCAUGAGAACAAACUGGGAUCCUUCCAUGAGAACAAACCGGUGGUUACCAGAGGGGAUGCGUGAAAUAGAUGAAGGACAUUAAGAAGACACUUAUCGUGGUUUCCUCUUUGCCAUUAAUAAAUGUGUUACGAAGCAUAAGAACCAAGUGCAGAACAAAACACAUCUAGUCUCCAGACAAACACUGAUAUGCAAUCAACAUUCUCUGGAUAUAAAUGUAUGACUGGCUAUGAACUCAUUUAAAUAAAUCUUCUUACAGUCCACAAUA